rnacentral:rRNA from 1 species
AUACGUAGGUGACAAGCGUUAUCCGGAUUUACUGGGCGUAAAGGGCGUGUAGGCGGUCUUGCAAGUCAGAAGUGAAAUUCCUGAGCUCAACUCGGGCGCUGCUUCUGAAACUGCAGGACUUGAGUGCUGGAGGGGAUAGCGGAAUUCCUAGUGGAGCGGUAAAAUGCGAAGAUAUUAGGAAGAACACCGGUGGCGAAGGCGGCUAUCUGGACAGUAACUGACGCGGAGGCGCGAAAGCGUGGGGAGCAAACAGGAUUAGAUACCCUGGUAGUCCACGCCAUAAACGAUGAAUACUAGGUGUAGGGGGUAUCGACUCCCUCUGUGCCGCAGUUAACACAAUAAGUAUUCCGCCUGGGGAGUACGGUCGCAAGGUUGAAACUCAAAGGAAUUGACGGGG